rnacentral:rRNA from 1 species
GGGGGGGGGGGGGGGGGGGGGGGGGGGGGGGGGGGGGGGGGGGGGGGGGGGCGGGGGGGGGGGGGGCGGGGGGCGGAGGGGGGGGUAAGACGGGGGGAGCCUGCCCGGGACGGGGGGGGAACGGCGGGGAACGGGGGCUAAUGCCGGAAAGGGGCUCCAGCGGCAUGGUGGGGGGUGGGAAGUUUCGGCGGUGGGGGGUGGACGCGCGGCUUAUCAGCUGGUUGGUGGGGUAGUGGCUUACCACGGCUGUGACGGUUAGCCGGCCUGAGAGGGUGACCGGCCACAUUGGGACUGAGAUACGGCCCAGCCUCCUACGGGAGGCAGCAGUGGGGAAUAUUGCACAAUGGGCGGAAGCCUGAGGCAGCCACGCCGCGUGCGGGAUGACGGCCUUCGGGUUGUAAACCGCUUUCGCCUGUGACGCAGCGUGAGUGACGGUAAUGGGUAAAGAAGCACCGGCUAACUACGUG